UACGGAGGGGGCUAGCGUUGUUCGGAAUUACUGGGCGUAAAGCGCGCGUAGGCGGACCUGCAAGUCGGGGGUGAAAGCCCGAGGCUCAACCUCGGAACUGCCUUCGAUACUGCGGUUCUCGAGUCCGGGAGAGGUGAGUGGAAUUCCUAGUGUAGAGGUGAAAUUCGUAGAUAUUAGGAAGAACACCAGUGGCGAAGGCGGCUCACUGGCCCGGUACUGACGCUGAGGCGCGAAAGCGUGGGGAGCAAACAGG
rnacentral:rRNA from 1 species